rnacentral:lncRNA from 1 species
UUUUUUUUUUUUUUUUUUGCUUUUCAGGGCUGGCUGAACUCACAGCAAAUGGAAGUUCCCAGGUUAAGGCUGAAUAGGAGCUGCAGCUGCCAGCCUACACCACAGCCACAGCAACACCAGAUCCAAUCCACAGCUCACAGCGAUGCCAGAUCCUUAACCCAAUGAGCAAGGCCAGGGAUUGAACCCUCAUCCUCAUGGACUCUAGCUGGGUUCGUAACCUGUUGAGCCACAAUAGGAAUUUCCACAACUGUACUUCAUUUAAAAAAAUAAAAUUAAAAUAAAUAAAAAGAAUCAUAUUGUAAGGUGAAGGCUAAGUCCAAGUUUUGUUAUGAAAACUCGGAUUUUCCUAUAUUAUAUUUAGUUUACUCAGAGCAGAUCUCUCUCUCUCUCUCUUUCACACACACACACACACACACACACACACACACACACAGAGGUAGAUAUGCGCACAGAUAAAUAUGUCUCAAUUGCCUUGAUAGCCUGUGCUAUUUGCUUCCAGGAUUCAUUUAUCACAAUGGAGGAGGGAGAAAAAAGCCAGGGGACAAGACAGGUAAUUUGCAUGACUGAAUUUUUAAAUAAAAUGUCCCUAGACCAAUCCCAUUUUCGACUUAAGUUGUUUUUCCAUUGCAUGAGUGGUUUAGAAACUACAAAACUCGAGAGGGAAGACGAUGGAGCAAACUGAAACACUGGCUUCGAACCUCAAAUGACCAUGCGUUUAGUGGGAGUGUAUCACUGUACUUCCUUAAUCCGGCCAUCUGGCAAGGGGUUGUCCAUGUGAUUAAUGAGAGGCCAUCGUACAACAUUGCCAGAAGGGAAACAAUUCCACUCACCCAUACAGCUAAACCAUAAUUACUAUGCAAAUGAUUUCGCUGCCCACACACACUUGGGGCAAGAGGUGGUGGCUCCGCAUGUGAGGAAUAAAGGAGGAGAAGGAGGAAGCAAACUGCUGGUAAGUCAUCCUCUCAAGUCUUUUUUUUCCUCCCCAGUUUCUCUCAACCCAAGUUUUUGUCUUAGAUUAUCACCUACUUGUUCUCCUGGAAUCCUUUUCAAAUCUACCUCCUUGCUUCGUCCUCUGCCCCAUUCAUAGGUACUGUGACCUGGGGGUUGGCACUUGCCAUCCGCCUCUACACGGAUGGCAUCAUGAGCCACCGCACCUGCCGGCCCUCAACACCCCCUGAAAGGAGCUCGGGGUGGGGACCAGGAGGGAGGCACUCUGCGCUCUGGGAAAAUGGGCAGAACAGGUCUUCAGAUAUUGUCAGGAGAAGAUUUUAUGGGCCCAAUUCUUGCAAAUCCUUGUAUCUAGAAAAGCCCUCGAAUCCUUCAUGGUGACGUCUGCUCACGAGACCAGCAGCGACCUUCUGUAAAAAUGUGGCUCGGCUUCAUGUCCCUCCCCCUUCACCAAAAUCUCACACUUGCUGACCUUCGUCCUACCUCUUUGGAGCAGUAUUUCAGAUCUAUCUGAAGUGCUGCCUCCCAGAUUAUAGUCCUCAUUUUGCCCCAAAUAAAACUUAACUCUCAACAUUUAGGUUGUGCA